GUUGCGGUUAAAAAGCUCGUAGUUGGAUUUCUGUCUGGGACGACCGGUCCGCCUUCUGGGUGAGUAUCUGGCUUGGCCCGGGCAUCUUCUUGGGGUACGUUACUGCGCUUGACUGUGUGGUGCGGAGCCCAAGACCUUUACUUUGAGGAAAUUAGAGUGUUUCAAGCAGGCUAUUGCCUUGAAUACAUUAGCAUGGAAUAAUAAGAUAGGACCUCGUCCCUACCUUGUUGGUUCGUAGAGAUGAGGUAAUGAUUAAUAGGGAUAGUCGGGGGCAUUCGUACUUAACUGUCAGAGGUGAAAUUCUUGGAUUUGUUAAAGACGAACUACUGCGAAAGCAUUUGCCAAGGAUGUUUUCAUUGAUCAAGAACGAAGGUUAGGGGAUCGAAGACGAUCAGAUACCGUCCUAUUCUUAACCAUAAACCAUGCCGACUAGAGAUUGGAGGUAGUUAUUCUAUGACUCCUUCAGCACCUUAUGAGAAAUCAAAGUCUUUUGGGCUCCGGGGGGAGGUAUGGUCGCAAAGGCUGAAACU
rnacentral:rRNA from 1 species